rnacentral:rRNA from 1 species
UACGUAGGGUGCGAGCGUUGUCCGGAUUUAUUGGGCGUAAAGAGUUCGUAGGCGGCAUUGCAAGUAGGGUGUGAAAGCCCUCGGCUCAACCGAGGAAUUGCGCUCUAAACUGCAGUGCUUGAGGAACCUAGAGGUGAGCAGAACAGAUGGUGGAGCGGUGAAAUGCGUUGAUAUCAUCUGGAAUACCGGAGGCGAAGGCGGCUCACUGGGAGUUUUCUGACGCUGAGGAACGAAAGCCAGGGUAGCGAACGGG